rnacentral:rRNA from 1 species
AACGAACGCUGGCGGCAGGCUUAACACAUGCAAGUCGAGCGCCCCGCAAGGGGAGCGGCAGACGGGUGAGUAACGCGUGGGAACGUACCCUUUGCUACGGAAUAGCUCCGGGAAACUGGAAUUAAUACCGUAUGUGCCCUACGGGGGAAAGAUUUAUCGGCAAAGGAUCGGCCCGCGUUGGAUUAGCUAGUUGGUGGGGUAAUGGCCUACCAAGGCGACGAUCCAUAGCUGGUCUGAGAGGAUGAUCAGCCACAUUGGGACUGAGACACGGCCCAAACUCGUACGGGAGGCAGCAGUGGGGAAUAUUGGACAAUGGGCGCAAGCCUGAUCCAGCCAUGCCGCGUGAGUGAUGAAGGCCUUAGGGUUGUAAAGCUUUUUCAGUGGGGACGAUAAUGACGGUACCCACAGAAGAAGCCCCGGCUAACUUCGUGCCAGCCGCCGCCGUAACAC